UGAUUGAGGGAUGAUGACUGAGGUAAGAGCGAUCGUGAGAUUGAGGGAUGAUGGCUGAGGUAAGAGCGAUUGUGAGAUUGAGAGAGAUAGGUAUGAGUGAGUUUGAGAGCGUGAGAGUGGUCUGGUACAGAUUGAGAGCGAUGGAGAGUUUGAGAGAGGAAGAGUUCAGUUCAAUGACACUAGCUUUUUUCCAUUUUCUUUCUUUUUAUUAUUAGUUAACUUAGGAAUGUUAAAAACCAAAACCAUUUAACUCCAUUUAAGUGACCUUUGAGUAUUUCCAGUAGACAUUAACACAUCAUUUUGGUAUUCCCCAACCCAUUAAUCUCUAAAAUCCAACAGCCAAGCGACUGGGUUUAAUUACUGGUAGUCCAACAGACUUUUUUUAUUUUAGUUUUUAUUCUAAUGUUUAAUCUAUUUUGGUUUAUAUAUUUAAAGCAGCAUCAAAAUAAUAACUAACCAUGAGUGGUCUGGUGGAGAAGGGUAGUAUCAUAGUCUUGAGUGGGGUGGGUUCAAUACUCAUAUGUAGCAUUUUUUUAGUAUUUUAUUUUUCUUUUAGCAUUUUAUUUUCUUUUAGUAUUUUAUUUCUUUUAACAUUUUUUUGUUAUGUUUAUGCUUUAUUAUUUUCAUAGUUUCAUUAUCAUAACAUAGAUUUGUUGUCUUUUAAUUUCAUCAUUCAUUCAAAACCAUUUUUAAACUAUAAAAAUCAUAUUUUUCUCGAUUUAAUAUCGAGCCCAUUUUUCCACACCCUUGUAAGUCGA
rnacentral:lncRNA from 1 species